GACGAACGCUGGCGGCGUGCUUAACACAUGCAAGUCGAACGGAAAGGCCCUGCUUUUGUGGUGUGCUCGAGUGGCGAACGGGUGAGUAACACGUGAGUAACCUGCCCUUGACUUUGGUAUAACUUCAGGAAACUGGGGCUAAUACCGGAUAGGAGCUCCUGCUGCAUGGUGGGGGUUGGAAAGUUUAGGCGGUUGGGGAUGGACUGGCGGCUUAGCAGCUUGUUGGUGGGGUAGUUGCUUACCAAGGCUUUGGCGGGUAGCCGGCCUGGGAGGGUGACCGGCCACCUGGGGACUACGAGAGGGACCAGACUCGUACGGGAGGCAGCAGGGGGAAAUAUUGCACAAUGGGCGGAAGCGUGAUGAAGAAACCCUGGGUGCGGGAUGCCGGCUUUCGGGUUGUAAACCGCUUUCGCCUGUGACGAAGCGUGAGUGACGGUAAUGGGUAAAGAAGCACCGGCUAACUACGUG
rnacentral:rRNA from 1 species